AUGGUGGUGGUUGCAUCGCCGCCGAGAGGACUGCCUUGCUCUCCUUCAAAGAGGGCAUCACAAGUGACCCCGCCGGCCUCCUUGCCUCGUGGCGUGGCCAGGACUGCAGCCGGUGGAGAGGCGUCAACUGCAGCAACCAGACCGGCCAUGUCAUCAGGCUUCGCCUCCGCUCUCCAAACCCGGACUUGUACGGGGAUCCAUGUGAAGGUAACAGUCUGUUUGCUUUCCUUGGAGCAUCUAGAGCACCUGGACCUCAGUAUGAACUGCUUGUCAGGGCCAAAUGACAGUUUUCCUGUGUUCCUGGGCCAGAUGAGGAACCUGAGAUACCUCAACCUCACCGGCUUAACGAUGUUUACCGGUAGGGUGCCUCCACAGCUCGGUAACCUGUCCAAGAUGCAGUAUCUGUCCAUCGGCCAGGCUGGUAGUCGCUCUCAGAUGUACUCUGAUGACAUCACCUGGUUAACAAACCUUCGUUUGCUACAGCACGUUAGCAUCGGAGGGAUAAAUCUCUCUGGGAUACAUGACUGGCCUCAUACGCUGAACAUGAUCCCGUCUCUAAGGGUUAUCAGUCUCAGUGAUUGUUCGCUUCAGAGCGCAAACCAAUCGCUUCCAUACCUCAAUCUCACAAGACUUGAGAAGCUUGAUCUUUCCUGGAACAGUUUUGACCACUCAAUAGCAACUAGUUGGUUUUGGAAAGCCACAAGCCUCAAGUACCUCAAUCUUCAGGCCAACAGAUUAUCCGGCCAAUUUCCCGACGCACUAGGAAACAUGACAUCCCUUCAAGUCCUUGACGUGUCAGAAAAUUGGAACAAGUAUUUGAUGGUGACAGGAAACCUGAAGAAUCUUUGCAGUCUGAAUAUUCUAGACUUCAGCAAUAAUGAAAUAAAUGGAGAUAUAGCAGUCAUGAUGGGGGGUUUGCCAGAAUGCGCAUGGGAAUCUUUGCAAGAGCUAGAUUUCAGCUACAACAGUUUAACUGGAACAUUGCCAAAUUUGAUAGGUACAUUCAGCAGCUUGAGGAGACUUAAACUCAACAAGAACAACCUCACCGGAAGUAUCCCACCGGGCAUUGGGUAUUUAACAUGCUUAGCUGCCCUUGACCUUUCGAACAACUGCUUCAGUGGAAGCGUACCCUUUGAAAUUGGUUCCCUAACUAAUCUAUCUUCUUUGGAUCUAAGCAACAACAACUUCAGUGGUAUUGUGCCAUCUGAAAUUGGUGCCCUUAGUGAUCUGACUUCUUUGGUCCUAAGAAAGAACAACUUUAGUGGUGUGAUCAAGGAAACACAUUUUGCAGGUCUAAAAGGUUUAAAGAACAUAGACCUGUCUUCCAAUAGUUUGAAGAUUGAAGUAGAUUCCGAUUGGCUUCCUCCCUUCAGGCUGGAGUCUGCGCUGUUUUCAUCUUGCCGAAUGGGUCCUCUGUUUCCUGCCUGGCUUCAGUGGCAACAAGAAAUCACUAAACUUGACAUUUCCAGCACAGCUCUAGUGGACAAGAUUCCUGAUUGGUUUUGGUCUACAUUUUCACGAGUCACAUACCUCGACAUGUCUGACAACCAAAUUAGUGGCAACUUGCCAGCACAUCUAGAUGACAUGGCGUUUGAACUCUACCUCAGUUCAAACCGGCUUACAGGGCCAAUACCACCGUUCCCAGGAAAUAUCACCGUGUUCGACAUCUCCAACAAUUCCUUUUCAGGAACACUGCCAUCAAAUCUUGAAGCUGUGGAACUGCAAACAUUGCUCAUGUAUUCAAAUCAAAUUGGUGGUAGCAUUCCAGAAUCUAUGUGUAAACUACAAAUGCUGGGAGAUCUAGAUUUAUCAAGCAAUCUUUUGGAGGGUGGAAUUCCUCAGUGCUUUGAGAACAUAUCCAUAGCAUACCUACUAUUAAGCAACAAUAGUUUAUCAGAUACAUUCCCAACAUUUCUGCACAAUGGAAAGAGUCUCGAGUUUCUUGAUCUUGCAUGGAAUAAGUUCUAUGGAAGGAUACCAACAUGGAUAGGAGAGCUCAGAAGAUUACGGUUUGUGCGACUAAGUCACAACACGUUUUCUGGGACUAUUCCAGUUGAAAUAACGGCUCUCAGUUAUCUUCAAUACUUGGAUCUAUCAGGAAAUAACAUAUCUGGUGCUAUACCUGUGCAUUUGUCAAACCUAACAGGUAUGACCCGGAAGGGCUUCAUGCCUAUAUCCAGCGAAAGUAUUGGUCCAGCCGGCUUGGGUUCAGUAACUGUAGCAGGUCAAUUUGGAGCGAUCUUGUCAAUAAUCACAAAAGGGCAAGAGCUUAAAUAUGGUGGCACCCUUGCAUAUUUUGUGAGCAUUGAUUUAUCCGGCAACUCCUUAACUGGUGAAAUUCCCACGAUAUCUCUUUCCUUGAUGCACUGA
rnacentral:rRNA from 1 species